CACACCCUACCCCUUAAUCUGAUUUACCUGGCAUCUAAACUAAACUCUACUUUUUUUAAUCCCCACUUUCAGCAGAUUUACUUUAAUGGAACACUCUACAAUCAGCAACAGAGAAAAAUCUUCGUCGUGCUAAACGAAUUUGAUACAGCGAAACAAAUGAUCCACAUUUGACCCAAAACGACGCCGCAUCAAACCCUUACCAUGGCGAACUCGCAAGAGCAAGAUCGUCCAUGGUUCCUCUACGCAAUGCCAUUGCUAGUCUUUACUUUGAUCGCAUUUCAUCUCCUCGCCUUGGUGUAUUGGAUUUACAGAUUGUCGACUGAUGCUAAGCAACAGCAGCAGCUUCUGCAGCAGCAGCUUCAGCAGCAACAACAGUCACAGAGGAGAAAAGCUCACUGAACAGAACGAUUACAAAGUACUUCUUCAAUUUCAAUUUGUGUUAACUUUAUAAUUUUCUUCGUAUAAUUGUUGUUUUGAAAGGAAAAUAUGUGAAUUAGUGUGAGAUUUGCCCAGUUGUCAAAUAGCAUCUAUAACGUUAUACUUAGUAGAAUUUCAACAAAUUGCUAUUGUUUUGUGGUUCUUAAUUUACCAUAAAGUGCUGUUAAAUGGAAACUAUAGUGGUGCUGUAGCAGUGUUGUG